GUGGCCUUCAUGGUGAACAAAACACGUAUGUAUGCUGGAAGCACUCAUCUGGGGGGAGGGGCCCCUUAGAACAUGAGGAAGUUCACACUUUCUUGCUGGUUUUAGUUUGGAGGGGCAGUUUGUUUCCAGUUUUGUUCUUGGAUGUAGGGUAGAAAUUUUAUUCCUGGAUAGUAAAUUACAUGUAUAAUGUUGAGAUCCGGUACUGUAGUAACAGAAACAAACCAUAUUACCAGAAGUUGAUGCAGGUUUAUUUGCAAGGGACCUGGAAUGUGUAUAUGAAAAAUGGCUGUUAGUGUUGUGUGUGUCAAAAUCCUGAUUCUUUAUCUGACCUAUCUCAUAGAUGACACCGAGGACCGUAUCGAGAAUCGGCCCAGCAAUAUUGCUCAAAAGGAAGCUCCCUACUCUGAUGAGAUUGCAUAGGAUGCUGCUUCCAGAUUGGAAGAAACAAUGGGCAGAAGUCACAAAGAUCAUCCUCUGGCUCUGUUCGAAGUUUUUGGUCCUGGCACCGCAAGAGGUUACACUCAGCAGGAAAGCUCUCCGUAAUUUUGGAGGAGCAGUCUAUCAUCACUGGAGAAGACAAGUCAUCUUUCUCCACAACCAUGAUGAAGGAGGGGCCUACCAGCAGCGGUGUGUAUUCAGAGAUCAUCACUCCAGUGACGAACAAUCUGGGUGUAGUAGAAUGUGGGGCUUUCUUGCUGGCAUUGGUUGCAGAGCCUCCAGAUCCUGGGGUCCUUUUGGAAAGAGAGUUGGGGGUGUAGAGCAUGCAGCUUUUUGCCACUCAUAG
rnacentral:lncRNA from 1 species